rnacentral:rRNA from 1 species
UCCCUAUGGGGUGCAGCAGGCGCGAAACCUCCACAAUGCGCGAAAGCGUGAUGGGGUUAGCCCGAGUGCUGUCCGAAAAGGAUGGCUUUUCCUUGGUGUAAAAACCCAGGGGAAUAAAGGGGGGGCAAGACUGGUGUCAGCCGCCGCGGUAAUACCAGCUCCCUGAGUGGUAAGGACGAUUAUUUGGCUUAAAGCGUCCGUAGCCGGCUUAGUGAGUCUUUUGUUAAAUCCAAUGACUUAAUCAUUGAACUGCAAGAGAUACUGCUAUGCUAGAGGACGGGAGAGGUCGACGGUAGUCCAGGGGUAGGGGUGAAAUCCUAUAAUCCUUGGAGGACCACCAGUGGCGAAGGCGGUCGACUAGAACGUGCCUGACGGUGAGGGACGAAAGCUGGGGGAGCGAACCGGAUUAGAUACCCGGGUAGUCCCAGCUGUAAACGAUGCGGGCUAGGUGUAGGGGCAGCUACGAGCUGCUCCUGUGCCGCAGAGAAAUUGUUAAGCCCGCCGCCUGGGGAGUACGAUCGCAAGAUUGAAACUUAAAGGAAUUGGCGGGGGAGCACCACAAGGGGUGAAGGCUGCGGUUUAAUUGGAUUCAACGCCGGAA